CAACCCUCAAGCUCAGCUUGGUGUUGGGACUCGCGGUAACCCGCGUUCCCCAAAUCGAUUGGCGGUCACGUCGAGCUUCCAUAGCGUAGUAAUCAUACACCUCGUUACUGGUAAUCGUCGCGGCCGCGGCCGUUAAAUCUUGCAUCA
rnacentral:misc_RNA from 1 species